AGGAACCUUGUGUGGGAAGGAAGUAUAGGAACUUUGUGUUGGUAGGAAGUAUAGGAACCAUGUGUGGGUAGGAAGGAUAGGAACCGUGUUUGGUAAGGAAGUAUAGGAACCUUGUGUAGGUAGGAAGUAUAGGAACCUUGUGUGGGUAGGAAGUAUAGGAACCGUGUGUGGGUAGGAAGUAUAGGAACCUCGUGUUGGUAGGAAGUAUGGGAACUGUGUGUGGAUAGGGAGUAUAGGAACCGUGUGUGGGUAGGAAGUAUAGGAACCUUGUGUGGGUAGGAAAUAUAGGAACCGUGUGUGGGAAGGAAGUACAGGAACCUUGUGUGGGUAGGAAGUAUCCAUGGAACUUUGUGUGGGUAGGAAGCAUAGGAACUGUGUGUGGGUAGGAAAUAUGGGAACCAUGUGUGGGUAGGAAGUAUAGGAACUGUGUGUGGG